CUUGCUCCUAGAGGCAUUGCAGAUGUUGCUGCUGUGUCACAUGUGUGUCAGUAGGUGGCAGAGGGGAGAGAAGAUGUCUAUGUUUGGCAUUAUAACCUGUGAAUAUCUGAAUGAUUAGCAGCCUAAUACU